ACGGAGGGUGCAAGCGUUAUCCAGAUUUAUUGGGUUUAAAGGGUCCGUAGGCGGGCCGAUAAGUCAGUGGUGAAAUCUCAUAGCUUAACUAUGAAACUGCCAUUGAUACUGACAGUCUUGAGUAAAUUAGAGGUAGCUGGAAUAAGUAGUGUAGCGGUGAAAUGCAUAGAUAUUACGUAGAACACCAAUUGCGUAGGCAGGUUACCGUGAUUAAACUGACGCUGAGGUACGAAAGCGUGGGGAGCGAACAG
rnacentral:rRNA from 1 species